rnacentral:pre_miRNA from 1 species
GUCACCUGGGGAGCUCGUUAAAAUGCAGAUUCUGAUACAGCGGGUCUGGGGUGGAGCCCGAGAGUCUGCAUUUCUAACGAGCCUCCAGGUGGUGCGGG